AGAGUUUGAUCCUGGCUCAGGACGAACGCUGGCGGCGCGCCUAACACAUGCAAGUCGAACGAGCGAGAGAGAGCUUGCUUUCUCGAGCGAGUGGCGAACGGGUGAGUAACGCGUGAGGAACCUGCCUCAAAGAGGGGGACAACAGUUGGAAACGACUGCUAAUACCGCAUAAGCCCACGGCUCGGCAUCGAGCAGAGGGAAAAGGAGCAAUCCGCUUUGAGAUGGCCUCGCGUCCGAUUAGCUAGUUGGUGAGGUAACGGCCCACCAAGGCAACGAUCGGUAGCCGGACUGAGAGGUUGAACGGCCACAUUGGGACUGAGACACGGCCCAGACUCCUACGGGAGGCAGCAGUGGGGAAUAUUGCACAAUGGGGGAAACCCUGAUGCAGCGACGCCGCGUGGAGGAAGAAGGUCUUCGGAUUGUAAACUCCUGUUGUUGGGGAAGAUAAUGACGGUACCCAACAAGGAAGUGACGGCUAACUACGUGCCAGCAGCCGCGGUAAAACGUAGGUCACAAGCGUUGUCCGGAAUUACUGGGUGUAAAGGGAGCGCAGGCGGGAAGACAAGUUGGAAGUGAAAUCUAUGGGCUCAACCCAUAAACUGCUUUCAAAACUGUUUUUCUUGAGUAGUGCAGAAGUAGGCGGAAUUCCCGGUGUAGCGGUGGAAUGCGUAGAUAUCGGGAGGAACACCAGUGGCGAAGGCGGCCUACUGGGCACCAACUGACGCUGAGGCUCGAAAGUGUGGGUAGCAAACAGGAUUAGAUACCCUGGUAGUCCACACCGUAAACGAUGAUUACUAGGUGUUGGAGGAUUGACCCCUUCAGUGCCGCAGUUAACACAAUAAGUAAUCCACCUGGGGAGUACGACCGCAAGGUUGAAACUCAAAGAAAUUGACGGGGGCCCGCACAAGCAGUGGAGUAUGUGGUUUAAUUCGACGCAACGCGAAGAACCUUACCAAGUCUUGACAUCCCUUGACAGACAUAGAAAUAUGUAUUCUCUUCGGAGCAAGGAGACAGGUGGUGCAUGGUUGUCGUCAGCUCGUGUCGUGAGAUGUUGGGUUAAGUCCCGCAACGAGCGCAACCCUUACUGUCAGUUACUACGCAAGAGGACUCUGGCAGGACUGCCGUUGACAAAACGGAGGAAGGUGGGGAUGACGUCAAAUCAUCAUGCCCUUUAUGACUUGGGCUACACACGUACUACAAUGGCGUUAAACAAAGAGAAGCAAGACCGCGAGGUGGAGCAAAACUCAGAAACAACGUCCCAGUUCGGACUGCAGGCUGCAACUCGCCUGCACGAAGUCGGAAUUGCUAGUAAUCGUGGAUCAGCAUGCCACGGUGAAUACGUUCCCGGGCCUUGCACUAAGCGCCCGUCA
rnacentral:rRNA from 1 species